CCCUUAGAUGUUCUGGGCCGCACGCGCGCUACACUGAACAGUUCAACAAGUCUUAACCUUGGCCGAUAGGUCUGGGUAAUCUGUGAACGUGCAUCGUGAUAGGGAUAGAUUAUUGCAAUUAUUAAUCUUGAACGAGGAAUUCCUAGUAAACGCAAGUCAUCAGCUUGCAUUGAUUACGUCCCUGCCCUUUGUACACACCGCCCGUCGCACCUACCGAUCGAAGGUAAUGAUGAGCCCUCAGGAUUGUGGCCUCGUCGCGUCAGCGUCUUGGCUGCGAGAAUCUGUGCAAAUCCCUACCUUUAGAGGAAGGUGAAGUCGUANCA
rnacentral:rRNA from 1 species